GCCUGGCGCCCCCCAAGCUUUGCGCCCUAGGCACGUGCCUCUUGUGCCUACCCCUAGUUCCGAGCCUGAUCGCACGUGCCCCUGGAGUUGUUCCCAGAGCCCUCUGCCAAUUUAGAGAAUGCCAAGCACCGCCAGUACCAACCCCUCGUGUGGCCCAAACUUAUAAAAUGUACCCCUCUCCACACCUCGAGUUUUUCAUUCACAACUUUCCUUCUGCCUCUGCACAACUCAAAGUUCCACCUGCACCCCCCCCUGAGGCCCGAACUUGUUACUGCCUCUGCACAACAACUUUUCCCAGCACGUCACUCGCACCCUCCAAACUUGUUGCAUUAGCCAAUUUGCCUCUGCACAUUAAUAUCCUUAUGUAUUUACAUAUAGAAUUUGUGUGAAAUAUAUUAUCCUUUAUAAAAGUAGGGUUGGAUCUGACCAUUGGGUGUCUAGAGUGUGUAUUUUCUGGGACUAAGAUUGUAUUAAAGGGGUGACUCAUUCUAAGCAAGUUCUUUUUUAUAGUUUUUUUAAUUAUUUGCUUUUUUCUUCUGAAUCUUUCCAGCUUUCAAAUGGGGGUCACAAGGGCCAGAACUAGGUGUAGGCAGAAGAGGCACCUACCUAGAGCGCAACAAUAAGGGGCGCGCUGAGCAGUCUUUAAGGUUCCUUCAGGAAAAGAACCCCUGGAGCCAUUUACAAUGGAAACCAAGAUUCUGUGUGAAAGAUAAAAGAAGCUGGACUCCAGAAAUCCUAAACGUUGAUACCAGGACAGCACAGAAAAUUGACAAUGGUAAUAUAGGCAGGGCUUGGCCAACCUGGCCAGCCCCCUCGCACCCCCUGCAGACAUGCACAACCACAGGCACGCGCACACACACAAGAGCACAUUGCCGGCAAGAGAGGACAAGGGUCAUGACUAGGGGUAUUUUCUGGAUAACAUGGGAAGAUCUACGAGUGGGAUCUAAUUGAGUGGAAACCAAAGUCUUUUGAAGAAUCCACCUGCAUACAAAGGUAGGGGGCACAGGAGAGAACAAGCAUUCCACAACAUACUACGUCCUGCUGGGCUGGGGGUCGGGAGGGAAAGAACUACUUGUGCAGACUUGACUGGCAGUUUAGAAAUCCCAGUGGCUGUGGCUCUCUGCAGUUCCCCCCGACCACCAUGGCUGUCACUGCAGACAGAGAAUGCCGUGACACCAUUAACUAUUUCCUUGCACUGCUACCAACGAUCGCACAAUAAAGGCUUCUUAAGUCCGACGCAGGGCAUGAUUCGAGUUCCGGCUUUACGCUUGUGAGUAGAUCCAGUUAUCUCCUUUCAAUCCCCGAAAAUAAUUUACUACACUAUAUACAGUAUUGUAUCUUUACAUCUAGGUACUGGGACAAAAACGUAAUAUCCCCUAGCGCACUGAACUUUGAAUACAUAUUCAGUUUAUUAUCGUGGACCAGCGGAUCCAAUGUUAUCCUCGGUGCUGCUGUUUUUUUUACUAAUUGGGACUUUGCGCAUAGCUCACAUCUGUUUGCUGUUUCUACUCAAAUAAAGGCAAUCUUCCACAGUCAGUUGAAUCAAAGUGAAGCAGUUUAUUAUGUCCACAGUCUUACGCAUUUCGUGUUACAAACAAUCAUAGGUCUAUAAAAAAAAAAAUACCAUUAUGUUAAUCAGCAGGUCACUGCACAGAUCCCCAUCCCUAACCACAAUCAAACAGCACACAACCUUCCUCCCCAAAUUGAAACCAUAGAGAUGCACAGCAGGGUUGGUUGCUGCCAUGGCUUUCUCUCUUCCAGUUCUGGAGCUGAUUGCUGAACAGGAGCACAGUGAAAGCCUAUCUUGUUCCUGGGAAAAUUUUCAGGAACCGUUAUAUCCCCUUUAAAUGCAAUGGCACACAGUGAUUUAAGUGUUUUGUUUCUCAAGCAUUUUAUAGCUCCAUGGAGGAUGGGAUUUGAAAUCACCAUUUUACUUAAAAUAGGUAGUAUCAAGUUAUAGGAAUUUAUCCAGUGACAUAUCUUGGGUUGGAUGUGUUAUAUUUAGGUAGUGCUAAAAGCCAUAUCCCUUAAUACAGAUUUGUUCUUUUUCACAGGUUCGGCAAAUUCUCGACCUUGUGGAAAGUAAAGGAGAGGAAGUUUCAGAAUAUUUCAUAAGUGUCUUUUAAAGGAUACCAAAAGCUUAUUUUAAUUUAACGCCAUGGUUAGAGGAAAUUUGCUUUGAGGCCUCUGAACAAAUACAUUGUUUAACUGUUAAAAACAAUGACCCAUGGCAUUAUUCUUUGAUUCAGCAUAAUGUACAUUGUUUGCAGAUUAAUCUUGUCAUGUCUGUGGACACUAAGGCGCUAGAAUCUAGAAAAAGCGAGAACCGAUAUUUGCCUAAAUGUCUUUAUCAUGAGACUAACCAGUCAUGGGUAAAAUGUUGCUCAUCUGCAUGGCCGAAAGUAAUUUGUUUAUAAGAAUGAGGAAAUACCGGGUAUUGGUUAUUGGGAAAUUCAUAUUGCUUGGAAUUUGUUUAUAAUUAUAUAAGUAUAAGAAUCCUUUAUUUAUAUAGUGCUGACAUAUUACACAGUCUUGCAGUGACAUGGUUCUUCAGUCACCUCAAUCAGGUCAGUUUCAUCAGGAACACGGAUGUUGGAACAAACAACCUCCAUGCUAAUAGUGCCCUGGUUUUGCCGAAAAAGGCUUAGAGAAUCAUGAAGGAAAACAUUGUAUUUAGAUUUCAACCUAUUAUCAUUUGUCCAGCACCUGCAAAUAAAAUAUUGGUUGGCAGCAACUGUUUUCAUCCUAUAGGUCUGUAAAUUACAUGAAAUGAUACCUGUUUCUCUCCAGCUUAGUACUAAAAGUGUAGCAUUCAGAAGUAUUGCUUCUGUUGUCUUCCAUGGAAACGUGGGUUCUAUUUUGCCCUGCUAAAAAUGAAUUGGCAUCUCCCUUUGCCAUAUUGUAUCUUAUUUAUAUAAUCUGUAUUAUAAUUUAAAAAACUGAACCGAGAAUGUCAAUAUUGUAUUAUAUCUAAAUUACUUUUAAAGUUCCAAAAUUUUAAAUUUAAAUGCAUUCAAAACUCUCAUGAUCUACUUUUUACCUUUCCCAAUAAGAAAGUGAGAACUAAAUAGGCUUGUCCUGGUGUAGUGCAAUAAUAGAUAGGGUUAUAAAGUGACAAAUGGAUACUACUUCACAUCAAUUCACUUAUAUCCAGCAAGGACUGAUCCAACUUGGACUCUUCCUAUAUGUAGAAAUUGACUUGUAAAAGUCAUGGGGCUGCACUAUGAAAGUGGUAUUUAGGGUGCAUUCCUGGCUGGAUUAUAGUGAUAAUUAAUAUGAACUGAUUCACUUAUCUUUUAGGGUCCGUUGCCGCCUUAAGCAUUGCAGGCCGGCUUGCUUUGGUAACCAGGUACCUCUUUUCUUAUCCUCCCAGACAUAUACUGCCGUCAUCCACUUCACCACUACACUAGAACCCCAAUUUUAAAUUUUCCAGCAAUUCACGUUGAUUUUUCGUGACCCCAUACAGACAAGCAUUGUUUUUUUUCCACCCAGAUUUUCAGUUUUCCCAGAAUUUACAGUGUUUUGAUGCCACAACAUGGAAAACGUAAAACUGUUCAACUGUAUUUUAAUGGUGCUUACUGGGACGUUGGCCACGCCAUUUACAUGCAAGGUCUGUGUUCUUACAUCAGUGUUAACCCAUUUUGGAAAAUUAGAUUUAGGUUAGGUUUAUUGCUGUCCCUAACUUUCUUAAAUAGUUAUUUUUUAACUAUUCAUUGUUCAUUUUGUUAUUUAUUUCUCAUAGUUACUGUUUUUAGCAGAAAACGUGAGCUGUGUUGUGAUGUGAGAUAAAUAAAGUCUUACUCGGAGAGAGAAGAGAUGAUGCCUCAGGAAACAUAUGUCAAUGGGAUAAUGGAACUGAUAAGUGCAGCAUCAAAUGAGAAUAUGGGACGAAUGGAAGAACUCAGCUCUUUGUUUGAUGGCAAUGGAGUGAUUAAUGAAGAUAGGGAAACAAUCUUUGUCUUUGGUAAUGCAGCCAGGCCCGGACUGACCAUCUGACUGUUCGGACAUUUGUCCGUGGGGCCGCUCUAUAUCUUGUGUAAGUGGGCUGCUCCUGAUCGAUCUGGUGUGCUCUAGGGCCGCUCCUCCAUCCUAUCUCCCGCUGUGGCUCUGCCUCCCAUUCUGUGCUCAUGCUGCUGCUGCCUCUGCAGUGUUGCGUGUGUCCCAGCAAGUUGAUAUGUUCCUUAGCUGGUAUGUACAUUUAACAUUUCCCCCGUGCAGAUGUGCCUUACAUCGGCCAUGUAGAGAAAUAUGUACAAGUCUGCUUGCAGAUUUGCUGGAGGUGCAUAAUCACAAGUGCUUUAAACCUGUUACAGAUGUUUUUAUGUCCCUUUCCUGCUUGCUACAAAAUGAAAACCAUUUCAGUUCUAUUACAGAAUUAGUCUAUUUUUAAUAUAGAACUUUUUAUGCUACAAGUUGCUGCUAUGAUAAUCAAAAUGAAAUAAAUAUUUAUAUACGA